rnacentral:pre_miRNA from 4 species
AGUGGAGCUGCUGGGUCACAUGGCAGGUGAUUAUAUAUUUAACUUUUUGAGGACCUGUCAAAUUAUUUUCCAAAGUGUCUGUACCAUUUUACAUUCCCACUAGCAGU